rnacentral:pre_miRNA from 1 species
AAUAAAUCAAUCUUUCACAUUUUAUCUAUAAUAUUUGAUUCUUCGUCUUAUUUAAAAAAAAUUAUAAUUAAUAUUUUUGUUUUUAUUAGAUGAUAAAUUAUGAAUAGUACUUUAAGUGUGACUAAUUUUUUUAAAAUUUCUUGAAAACUUUUGAAUAAGACGGAUAUUCAAACGCUGAACACAUAUACCAAAGAAUUGGCUUUUU